rnacentral:rRNA from 1 species
CACCAGGUUGAUUCUGCCUGACGUGGAUGCUAGUCUCAUAGGUUAAGCCAUGCAUGUGCAAGCGAAGCGUAAGUGGAGCGGCGCAAGGCUCAGUAACGGGCGAGUAUUUGAUCUCCUAGAGUGGAUAUCCUCUGUAACCGGAGGGCAAAACACAAGAUGAGCGAUUGACAAGGUCGUUCGUUUAACGAAUAGUGUAGGAGAGUAAGAAGCCAUCCCAUCAGUUAGUAAGUAGGGUAAGGGCCUACUUAGACGAAGACGGGUACGGGGAAUUAUCGUUUGAUUCCGGAGAGAGGGAGCCUGAGAGACGGCUACCAGGUCCAAGGACAGCAGCAGGCGCGAAAAUUACCGCAGCCUGCGUUCAGGGUGGUAGUAAGGAGACGUGAAAACAAUGUGCGGGCAAAAGACGCACUAGAUACAGGAGGACAAGACUGGUGCCAGCACCCGCGGUAAUACCAGCUCCUGGAGUGUCUAUGAUGAUUGCUGCAGUUAAAGAGUUCGUAGUCGAAGUGGUUAUAACGGUGUAACAGGCCUUCUCUCAAGGAGGGUUAUGCGCCGUGAUUCCAUGGAAUAAGGAGCGUUUAGGGGCCAGGUUAUUAAGCGACGAGGGGUGAAAUCUGGUGACUCGCUUAGGAGCAACAGAGGCGAAAGCGCUGGCCAGGAGCGAAUCCGAUGAUAAAGGACGUAGGCUAGAGGAUCGAAGACGAUUAGAGACCGUUGUAGUUCUAGCAGUAAACGAUGCCGAUACCGUGGUGCGGAUACGCGACGCGGAAGAGAAAUCGAGUAGGGCCCUGGGGAGAGUACACGCGCAAGCGAGAAAUUUAAAGGAAAUUGACGGAAGAACACCACAAGGAGUGGAGUGUGCGGCUUAAUUUGACUCAACGCGGGACAGCUUACCAGGCCCGACGGCCGGACGAGUGUUGUACACGAUAGGUCGAAGAGUGGUGCAUGGCCGUUAACGACGAGUGAGGUGACUUUUGGGUUAAAUCCGGGAAGUAGUGAGACCCCUACCGAAAGGGACAGGUGCCGAAAGCACAGGAAGGAAGGGUCAAGAACAGGUCAGUGAUGCCCUCAGAUGGUCUGGGCUGCACGCGCACUACAGUGGUCAUAGAAAUGAAACGAUAGAAUUAAAGAUGAUCGAGAGGGAAUGAGCUUUGUAAGAGGCUCAGGAACGAGGAAUUGCUAGUAAUCGCGGACUCAUUAAGACGCGAUGAAUACGUCCCUGUUCUUUGUACACACCGCCCGUCGUUAUCGAAGAUGGAGUCAGGCGCGAACAAGCGAGAGCGAGUGAGUGCAGGAUUCUAGAUGUGAUACAAGUCGUAACAAGGUAGCUGUAGGAGAACCUGUAGCUGG